CACGUGAACAGGCCAGUGACCCAGCAGUCAACCAAGGCCCAGAAGAGUCCCAGGGCCCGGGUUCCCAAGGCCAGCCUCCUUCCUGCCCCUGCAGAGCCGCCUGCGAGGUUACCUUGGUGUGCGGGCCGAGCGAGCGGAUGGCGGGCACAGCGAUGAGGGCGAAGCGCUCGUACAGGGCUAAUGACAGAGCCUGAGGCCCGGGGCCCUCGGAGGAGGCGAGGUGCAACUCUGAUGCCGGCCCAACUCAGGCUGUGGGCGGACGGAGCAGAGGCCGCUGCCGAGCGGGGAGCCCAGCUGCAUUGAAAGAAAGUAGAAAUUAAAACCAUCAGGCCAAUUUGCUGCUCGUUUGCUUUAUGAGCCGACCCCCAGGAACACGGGGUGAGUCUCCAUGUGACCCAGGAAGGGGGGCGUGGGAUGCCCGGCCACCCAGUGCUGCCCGUGAUGAGCGUGGGGUCUGCACAGGGGCGAGUAGUGGGCACCUGGGCCUGCCCCUCCCCAGCCUGAGGACCACGCCUGAGGCCCAGGCUCCUGCAGGAGGCCAUGGCCCUGGGGCACCUCUGUGGGACUGCGCAGGUGGACUGGCAGCUGGGCCUUGGGGGCCGCGCUGACAGCGCCCUGACCUUGGCUCUGCAGUCAGCGGUUGUCACAGUGACAGACCCUUGCCACUCAGCGAGAACUGAGCAGCCUGAGGUACAGUCAUCAUGGGGCCCGUGCCACCUGCCACCUGCAAAACUGGCCCACCCUGUUCCAUGGACACCGGGCGUGGUGACAGGAUGCAGCCCCGGCCUGCUGGUCCUCCUGGGCUCCUGCUGCUUAGGCCCAAGCUCCAGGAAGCUCUGUCUGGUAUAUCCCACAGGCCACUGAACGUCCCUGGGGCUGUUCCACAGCUCUUGGGGACAAGUUCCAGGUCGUGACAGCACCUGUCCAUGUGAACCAAAGGCCAGUGGAGGAUCUGGGUAGGGGACGAGGUAUAACCGCUUCCCUCAGCUCUGGAUGGCCUGUCCUGAGCCGACUGGGCUCUUAGGGAAGCCGGGCAGCCAUUACAGAGGAGGCCCCGAGGCCGACCGUAGCAGAACCCAGGGCCACCUGGGCCUCAGAGGUAGUGAUGGCAUCGGCACCAUGCAGGCCCCGCCCAGGAGACCGCCUUGCACCAGAGGGUUGGGAAGGCCUGGCCUGAGCCAUGAGGCGUCAUUAGGAGGGAGGGGGAGGAAGACGUGGGGCAGACAGCCGAGGGCCCUGCAGGUUGGGCAGAAGGUGGGCUGAGGCCAGCUGUGUGUCCUCAAGUUGGUCUGUGUCACAGCAGAGGGCCACCCAGUGAUUCAGACCAGGGCAGAUGUGCUGAGGAACAGGGACAGGGGGACUUGCCAGGACACGGUGAAGAGUGACCUUAGGAACAAGAAGGGAGGAGCCUGUAGAUGGGGAGCUCCCUGGGCCUCACGUACAUCUGUAGCCGGGAGGCCGCGGGGAGGCCGUGGGCAGGCCGCGGGGAGGCUGCGGGGAG